rnacentral:rRNA from 1 species
AGCACGUUCUUAGCAGCGAGGCCUGGGUGUAGGGAAAACCGCAUCCGAUUAAGGUUAGCGGCUAGGAGGAGUGUCCGUAAGGAUGCGAAGGUAGUGAUCCUACACUGCCGAGAAAAACCUCGUCAGGGAGACAUAGUUAGUGUCCGUACCCGAAACCGACACAGGUGGACUGGUAGACAAACUACCGAGGCGCGCGAGAGAACCCUCGCUAAGGAACUCGGCAAACUGACCCCGUAACCUCGGGAGAAGGGGUGCCUGCGAUAGGUGAAUCAAGAGAUUGAUGAGCCGAGGCAGGCCGCAGAGGAUAGGUCCUGGCGACUGUUUACCAAAAACACAGGUCUCUGCGAAGGCGGAAGCCGAAGUAUAGGGGCUGAGGCCUGGCCAGUGCUGGAAGGUUAAGGUGAGGGGUUAGCCCAGGAAUGGGCGAAGCUCCGAGCUGAAGCCCCAGUAAACGCCGGCCGUAACAAUAACGGUCCUAGGUAGCGAAAUUCCUUGUCGGGUAAGUUCCGACCCGCAUGAAAGGUGUGACGACUGGGACGCUGUCUCAGCGAGGGACUCGGUGAAAUUACAAUGGGGGUGAAGAUGCCCUCUACCCGCGGCAGGACGGGAAGACCCCAUGGAGCUUUACUGUAGCCUGAUAUUGGGUUUUGGCAUGUGCUGCGCAGGAUAGGUGGGAGGCUGAGAAGGUACCCUUUCGGGGGUACUGGAGCCGACGGUGAGAUACCACCCUGCACGUGUUGGAACUCUAACAUGGAGCCGUGAAGCCGGCACAUGGACAGUGUCAGGUAGGCAGUUUGACUGGGGCGGUCACCUCCCAAAAGGUAACGGAGGCGUCCAAAGGUACCCUCAGGCGGAAUGGAAACCCGCUGAAGAGUGCAAAGGCAUAAGGGUGCUUGACUGCGAGAGGGACACCUCGAGCAGAGUGGAAACACGGGCUUAGUGACCCGGUGGUGCUGAGUGGAAAGCCCACCGAUCAACGGAUAAAAGUUACCCUGGGGAUAACAGGCUAAUGGGUCCCGAGAGUCCAUAUCGACGGAUCCGUUUGGCACCUCGAUGUCGACCCGUCUCAUCCUGGGGCUGAAGCAGGUCCCAAGGGUUGGGCUGUUCGCCCAUUAAAGAGGCACGCGAGUUGGGUUCAGAGCGUCGUGAGACAGCUCGGUCCUUAUCCGCCGCGGGCGCAGGAGUUCUGAGGGGAGCUCUUCCUAGUACGAGAGGACCGGAAGGGACCAGGCACUGGUGUACCAGUUGUACCGCCAGGUGCAGAGCUGGGUAGCCACCCUGGGAGGAAUAAGCGCUGAAAGCAUCUAAGCGCGAAGUCCAUCCCAAGAUAAUAACUCCCACAGAGAUGAUCUGGUAAGGGCCCGGGAAGACUACCCGGUAGAUAGGCUGGAAGUGGAAGCCCAGUAAUGGGUGUAGCUGACCAGUACUAAUAGCCCGAGG